rnacentral:lncRNA from 1 species
UAAAUCCUGCUGAGGUAUAUACAACUCUACAAGCUGGUUCUCAAAUCCUUUUUUUGGAACGAGACUGAAGGAUUUCUGCAUAAAUAAUCAUAGUGGAAUUUUCAAGAUAUUUCAACGGUCUGUGGUGGCCAAAUAUGUGGAAUUGAGGCUGUUCCAGUAAAUCUGGAAUGAAUUGACACUCUAUCCACAGAGUAUGAAACUGUGUGUAGAGUAUGCAUGUGCGCGCGCGUGCACACACACACACAUACACACACACACACACACACAGGAAGAAUUCUUUUCUUGUCCAGACACUGGCAUUGGCAGUGAAACCAUCCAUUCCAAACCAAAGGAGCCCCCUCACCAAUGGCCUUGCCGCCCAGGAACCCUGCAGGGCAGAAGUUGGGGAGGGGAUAGCAGUCUGAAUAGCGGUCUUGGAUGGCUGGAAGCUGGCACCUGUGAACAAGCACCCAUGAUGGUGAUGCAUCCGGAACCAGGCUGCCCAGCCAACCAGUGCUUUCCCACCGGAGCUUUUGCUCUGGGCUCCUCUGCCGUUGAUUUCCCAGGUCCCGCCUUGCAUUUUCUCCCUCAUCUUCACAUGUGGGGAGCCCCUGACCGGCUGCUGAAGACCCCCAGACAAGCCUUCAGCUUCCAGAUCAUGGAAGGCAGCAUGGGGAGGCAGGAGACCCCUGGGAGGGCGGAGCAUGACUUUUGUCCAGGAGGCUGGACUACCGACUUCAGCAGGCUCUGGUUGGCUCUGGAGGACAUCCCUCAAGAAGUGCUGGCAGAUGUUAGAUUCCCGCCACCUGGAGGCCUGACCUCACCUGAGGGCAUCCCUGCCUGUCCAUGUCUUUUGACUGGGUGGGCAGCCCUGCCUACCUCUCUGCAGCUUCAAACACCAGCCGCUUCCACUCAGAGACACUCAAAAUGUGUCGAGGGAGGUUGUCCUCUGGACUCCUGGGAAUUGACCACCAGCAUGCGCUGCUCCGCUGACAAGGGAAAGGGCCCUCUGGCCCGCACAGCAUGGAUAUGGGCAGAACGGUUUUUCCUAACUAGGCCUUCUGGGUUGCAGCAGAACAGCAUGUGUCUGCUUCUCAAAUGUAACAGGACAAGAUGUUCAGGUCUUGUGUCCUCUGUGAAGCAGGGCUGCAAGGACCCCUUACCAAGGAGAAGAUUGUCUCUGGAAACUGCGAAAUCUGACCAGAAGGCCCUUAGCCUCCCAGGCUCUGUAGCUUCUGCAGUGAUGAGGCCUGGCCACCAGAUGGCUCCACAGAGGCCACUGCUCUCUCAGGGAAGAGGAGGCUGGGAAGAUCCAGGGGAGGACAUGGAAUUGGAUUCUCACCUGGGGAAGCUGUGCCCAGUUAAAUUGAGUGACUUGCCUAAAGCAACUAAGGAGUGA